GACGAACGCUGGCGGCGUGCUUAACACAUGCAAGUCGAACGAUGAAGCCUAGCUUGCUAGGUGGAUUAGUGGCGAACGGGUGAGUAAUACGUGAGUAACCUACCUUUAACUCUGGGAUAAGCCCGGGAAACUGGGUCUAAUACCGGAUACGACCAAUCUCCGCAUGGGGUGUUGGUGGAAAGCGUUAUGUAGUGGUUAUAGAUGGGCUCACGGCCUAUCAGCUUGUUGGUGAGGUAACGGCUCACCAAGGCGACGACGGGUAGCCGGCCUGAGAGGGUGACCGGCCACACUGGGACUGAGACACGGCCCAGACUCCUACGGGAGGCAGCAGUGGGGAAUAUUGCACAAUGGGCGCAAGCCUGAUGCAGCGACGCCGCGUGAGGGAUGACGGCCUUCGGGUUGUAAACCUCUGUUAGCAGGGAAGAAGAGAGAUUGACGGUACCUGCAGAGAAAGCGCCGGCUAACUACGUGCCAGCAGCCGCGGUAAUACGUAGGGCGCGAGCGUUGUCCGGAAUUAUUGGGCGUAAAGAGCUUGUAGGCGGUUUGUCGCGUCUGCUGUGAAGGCCGGGGCUUAACUCCGUGUAUUGCAGUGGGUACGGGCAGACUAGAGUGCAGUAGGGGAGACUGGAAUUCCUGGUGUAGCGGUGGAAUGCGCAGAUAUCAGGAGGAACACCGAUGGCGAAGGCAGGUCUCUGGGCUGUAACUGACGCUGGGAAGCGAAAGCAUGGGGAGCGAACAGGAUUAGAUACCCUGGUAGUCCAUGCCGUAAACGUUGGGCACUAGGUGUGGGGAACAUUCCACGUUUUCCGCGCCGUAGCUAACGCAUUAAGUGCCCCGCCUGGGGAGUACGGCCGCAAGGCUAAAACUCAAAGAAAUUGACGGGGGCCCGCACAAGCGGCGGAGCAUGCGGAUUAAUUCGAUGCAACGCGAAGAACCUUACCAAGGCUUGACAUAUACUGGACCGCAUCAGAGAUGGUGUUUCCCUUCGGGGCUGGUAUACAGGUGGUGCAUGGUUGUCGUCAGCUCGUGUCGUGAGAUGUUGGGUUAAGUCCCGCAACGAGCGCAACCCUCGUUCUAUGUUGCCAGCACGUAAUGGUGGGGACUCAUAGGAGACUGCCGGGGUCAACUCGGAGGAAGGUGGGGAUGACGUCAAAUCAUCAUGCCCCUUAUGUCUUGGGCUUCACGCAUGCUACAAUGGCCGGUACAGAGGGUUGCGAUACUGUGAGGUGGAGCUAAUCCCUAAAAGCCGGUCUCAGUUCGGAUUGGGGUCUGCAACUCGACCCCAUGAAGUCGGAGUCGCUAGUAAUCGCAGAUCAGCAACGCUGCGGUGAAUACGUUCCCGGGCCU
rnacentral:rRNA from 1 species